GCUGGGGUGGCUGAAUGGUUCAGGCGGCAGCCUGCAGAGCUGCUCUAUAUGGGUUCAAUUCCCAUCCCCAGCUCCA
rnacentral:tRNA from 1 species